ensembl:lncRNA
CGCAGACCUCCGUUUCUGGAGGUUCACUCUUAGUAUUGGAGAGGGAAUUUACAACCACCAAUACGCGGAUGGCUAAACACAGGGGGCCCCGUUGAUCUCAGUGAUGGAUGAGGCCCUUCAGCUGAGUUGAUUUGUGGACUGUUUACAACGCAGUGUUAAAGAUCUGUUGCGUGUUGUGUUCACAUCUUUGUUGCUGUUUUUUUGUUAUGCUUUUUCUUAUAGCUGAUGCUGUUGAAAACAUGCUUGACAACGUAUUUCUAAAGGGGUUGAGUGGAGUAGCCUACCAGUGAGCAGGCCUUCUAGUGACUCAUUCUGGUAUACAGCAUGAAUCAUAAGCAGCGAGCAUAUUACUUAUUACAUAACCAGUACACACAUCUUUGUGUCGCGAUCACAUUUCUUAUCGGCCGGUCAUCAAUCAGAAAUGUGUCUCAAACGCGUGAAAACAUGACGGUAAGGAGAAAAAAAGAAACAAAGAGAAAGAAACUGCCUUGUGGUCAAGAGUGGCAGUUAAUCACUCUGUGUGUUCACACACUCAGUCACUAUCUGGCGGCUGCAGUCCAGCCGAGGCGUAGAGACGGCUGCGAGCAUACAGACGUAGAGGAAGCAGGACUGAAUCUGUAUGCAGAUUCAGAAAUAUGAGGGAGGGGGCCAGGGGAGGAAUCUGAGGAGGAGUCCGACUUUUAAAGUGUGGUCAGAGGACUGGCGGCAGAGGAAACUGUGAAGGAGUGAGAUAGCACGAUCUGUUGCCUUGUUGUUUUUAUUCUGAUGUCACAAGGGGUUCAACGGUAGAAGUAAUGAUGUGCUCGCUAUUGCCUGGUCGGUCAUUUGGGGCAAUUGGGUUAGUACAUUAUUUUUUUGUACAUUAUUGCCAAAAACGUCAGCCUACUAAUCUUUGUACAAAAAAUGGGAUCACAAAUAGAGGCUACAGUCAGACCCUUUUGUAAGUGCACUGCAGAGAGGAAUUUAUAAUACUUUGCUUACUUAGUAUUUGAAGAUCAAGAAAAUAUAUUAUGUCGAGUACUAGGUAUAACAACCACAGCAACCCUCUUUAAUAGCCCAACCAUCUUUUUAUCCCUGCUUCGAAAAUAUGGCAUCCCAGCUGAUAAUAUGAGGGAGAGUCUCAAAGCAACAAAUAUUCAAAAAAAGAAUUGCUGUUCAACAUCAUUCUCAAUCACAUUAGACUGCUGUAGAGCGAUUUACGAUGAAG